GGGAAAUUUGUCUAUAAUAAAAAUAAAUCUGUCUGUACAAAAUAUAACAAAGCUACAUGAAUUUUUACAAAUAGGUACUUUAUAAUACCAUCUCUACGGGAUGUGUGGUAAUCAUAUACCAUGAAGUGCAUAACGUUGUGUCUUUCUGCAUUAAAUGUCAUCUGCCAUUUGAGUGCCCAAUCCCUCAAUCUAGCUAAAUCCCUCAGCAGCGAGGUAAUAUCCUGCUCAUAUUGUAUUACUUUACAGAGUUGUGUGUCACCUGCAAACACUGAAAA